rnacentral:misc_RNA from 1 species
AGAGGGCGUGGAAGGGGACGCGGCAGGGGUGGUUAUGGAAACUACUAUCAAGAUGAUGGUGGAUACUAUAACCCAGGUCGAGGUGGUGGAUUAGCCGAUGAUGGUACAUUUUAUAACCCAAGUCGAGGUGGCGGAUUUGCAGAUAAUGAUGGAUAUUAUAAUCAAGGUCGAGGCGGUGGGUUUGCAGAUAAUGGUGGAUAUUAUCAACAAGGUCAAGGUGGUGGGUUUGCAGAUAAUGGUGGAUAUUAUCAACAAGGUCAAGGUGGUGGUCGAGGCAGAGGUUGGGGAUACCGUGGCACGGGAUACGGAAGGGGCCGAGGCGGAGGCUGGGGUGGUGGCAGAGGUUAUAGUCGUGGACGAGGCCGGAUGGGUGGUCGAGGAGGAAGGGGUGGUGGAAACCAGUAUAGGCAAGAAGAAUUUGCUGUCAAAGCUUGAUAGGAAAAAAUAUUGCACAACCCUUUGGCAUGGUGUGAAACUUUUUUGAGUGAAUUUUCAUGCAGUUUUGUUUGAUGUUAUUUGGCUAAAGGUUCUGUUACUUUGGUUGGUUCUUGUUUUUUCAUAUGAUUCAUUUAUUUUGAUGUCUGUCAUGUAAUAAGUUUUCAUUUUUUU